rnacentral:rRNA from 1 species
AUUGAACGCUGGCGGCAGGCCUAACACAUGCAAGUCGAGCGAGCGGCGGACGGGUGAGUAAUGUCUGGGAAACUGCCUGAUGGAGGGGGAUAACUACUGGAAACGGUAGCUAAUACCGCAUACCAUCAGAUGUGUCCAGAUGGGAUUUGCUAGUAGGUGGGGUAACGGCGCACCUAGGCGACGAUCCCUAGCUGGUCUGUGAGGAUGACCAGCCACACUGGAACUGAGACACGGUCCAGACUCCGACGGGAGGCAGCAGUGGGGAAUAGUGCACAAUGGGCGCAAGCCUGAUGCAGCCAUGCCGCGUGUGUGAAGAAGGCCUUCGGGUUGUAAAGCACUUUCAGCGGGGAGGCGUUACCCGCAGAAGAAGCACCGGCUAACUCCGUGCCAGCAGCCGCGGUAAUAC